GAUGAACGCUGGCGGCGUGCCUAAUACAUGCAAGUCGAGCGAACGGACGAGAAGCUUGCUUCUCUGAUGUUAGCGGCGGACGGGUGAGUAACACGUGGAUAACCUACCUAUAAGACUGGGAUAACUUCGGGAAACCGGAGCUAAUACCGGAUGAUAUUUUGAACCGCAUGGUUCAAAAGUGAAAGACGGUCUUGCUGUCACUUAUAGAUGGAUCCGCGCUGCAUUAGCUAGUUGGUAAGGUAACGGCUUACCAAGGCAGCGAUGCAUAGCCGACCUGAGAGGGUGAUCGGCCACACUGGAACUGAGACACGGUCCAGACUCCUACGGGGGGCAGCAGUAGGGAAUCUUCCGCAAUGGGCGAAAGCCUGACGGAGCAACGCCGCGUGAGUGAUGAAGGUCUUCGGAUCGUAAAACUCUGUUAUUAGGGAAGAACAUAUGUGUAAGUAACUGUGCACAUCUUGACGGUACCUAAUCAGAAAGCCACGGCUAACUACGUG
rnacentral:rRNA from 1 species